rnacentral:rRNA from 1 species
UACGGGGGGGGCAAGCGUUGUUCGGAAUUACUGGGCGUAAAGGGUUCGUAGGUGGCCUGCUAAGUCGGACGUGAAAUCCCUCGGCUCAACCGGGGAACUGCGUCCGAUACUGGUGGGCUUGAGUGCAGGAGAGGAACGCGGAAUUCCAGGUGUAGCGGUGAAAUGCGUAGAUAUCUGGAAGAACACCAAUGGCGAAGGCAAUGUUCUGGCUCGUGUCUGACGCUCAGGUGCGAAAGCCAGGGGAGCGAACGGG